rnacentral:tRNA from 1 species
AGAGACUUAGGUUGACACCAUAAACCAAGAGCCUUCAAAGCCCUAAACCAGGGGUAAAACCCCCUAAUCUCUG